AGCAGUCGCCGCGGGAAUACGAAGGGUGCAAGCGUUAAUCGGAAUUACUGGGCGUAAAGCGUGCGUAGGCGGUUUGUUAAGUCUGCUGUGAAAUCCCCGGGCUCAACCUGGGAAUGGCAGUGGAUACUGGCAAGCUAGAGUGUGUCAGAGGAUGGUGGAAUUCCCGGUGUAGCGGUGAAAUGCGUAGAGAUCGGGAGGAACAUCAGUGGCGAAGGCGGCCAUCUGGGACAACACUGACGCUGAGGCACGAAAGCGUGGGGAGCAAACAGGAUUAGAUACCCCGGUAGUCCCUGUCUCUUAUAC
rnacentral:rRNA from 1 species